rnacentral:tRNA from 1 species
UAUAUGUUAGUGUACAAGCACGAGAAGUUUUGAUCUUCUAAGACAGGGUGAAAUUCCCUAACAUAUAU